UACGUAGGUGGCAAGCGUUGUCCGGAAUUAUUGGGCGUAAAGCGCGCGCAGGCGGUCUUUUAAGUCUGAUGUGAAAGCCCACGGCUCAACCGUGGAGGGUCAUUGGAAACUGGGAGACUUGAGUGCAGAAGAGAAGAGUGGAAUUCCAGGUGUAGCGGUGAAAUGCGUAGAUAUCUGGAGGAACACCGGUGGCGAAGGCGGCAUCCUGGACCAAUUCUGACACUGAGGAGCGAAAGCCAGGGGAGCAAACGGG
rnacentral:rRNA from 1 species